rnacentral:rRNA from 1 species
UGCAUGGAGCCGACCUUGAAAUACCACCCUUUAAUGUUUGAUGUUCUAACGUUGGCCCCUGAUCGGGGUUGCGGACAGUGUCUGGUGGGUAGUUUGACUGGGGCGGUCUCCUCCUAAAGAGUAACGGAGGAGCACGAAGGUUGGCUAAUCCUGGUCGGACAUCAGGAGGUUAGUGCAAUGGCAUAAGCCAGCUUGACUGCGAGCGUGACGGCGCGAGCAGGUGCGAAAGCAGGUCAUAGUGAUCCGGUGGUUCUGAAUGGAAGGGCCAUCGCUCAACGGAUAAAAGGUACUCCGGGGAUAACAGGCUGAUACCGCCCAAGAGUUCAUAUCGACGGCGGUGUUUGGCACCUCGAUGUCGGCUCAUCACAUCCUGGGGCUGAAGUAGGUCCCAAGGGUAUGGCUGUUCGCCAUUUAAAGUGGUACGCGAGCUGGGUUUAGAACGUCGUGAGACAGUUCGGUCCCUAUCUGCCGUGGGCGCUGGAGAACUGAGGGGGGCUGCUCCUAGUACGAGAGGACCGGAGUGGACGCAUCACUGGUGUUCGGGUUGUCAUGCCAAUGGCACUGCCCGGUAGCUAAAUGCGGAAGAGAUAAGUGCUGAAAGCAUCUAAGCACGAAACUUGCCCCGAGAUGAGUUCUCCCUGACUCCCUGAGAGUCCUGAAGGAACGUUGAAGACGACGACGUUGAUAGGCCGGGUGUGUAAGCGCAGCGAUGCGUUGAGCUAACCGGUACUAAUGAACCGUGAGG